CACGUAGGGGGCAAGCGUUGUCCGGAUUUAUUGGGCGUAAAGAGCUCGUAGGCGGCUCGGUAAGUCGGGUGUGAAACCUCCAGGCUCAACCUGGAGACGCCACCUGAUACUGCUGUGGCUAGGGUCCGGUAGGGGAGUGUGGAACUCCUGGUGUAGCGGUGAAAUGCGCAGAUAUCAGGAAGAACACCAGCGGCGAAGGCGGCACUCUGGGCCGGAACUGACGCUGAGGAGCGAAAGCGUGGGUAGCAAACAGG
rnacentral:rRNA from 1 species